rnacentral:rRNA from 1 species
AGUGGCGGACGGGUGAGUAACGCGUGAGAAUCUGCCUUCAGGAGGGGGACAACAGUUGGAAACGGCUGCUAAUACCCCGUAAGUCUACGGAUAAAACGGUUAAUUCCGCCUGAAGAUGAGCUCGCGUCGGAUUAGCUAGUUGGUGGGGUAAAGGCUUACCAAGGCGACGAUCCGUAGCUGGUCUGAGAGGAUGAUCAGCCACACUGGGACUGAGACACGGCCCAGACUCCUACGGGAGGCAGCAGUGGGGAAUUUUCCGCAAUGGGCGAAAGCCUGACGGAGCAACGCCGCGUGCGGGAGGACGGCCUGUGGGUUGUAAACCGCUUUUCUCAGGGAAGAAGAUCUGACGGUACCUGAGGAAUCAGCAUCAGCUAACUCCGUGCCAGCAGCCGCGGUAAUACGGAGGAUGCAAGCGUUAUCCGGAUUUAUUGGGCGUAAAGCGUCCGCAGGCGGCUAAUCAAGUCUGCUGUUAAAGGCCGAGGCUUAACUUCGGUUGAGCAGUGGAAACUGAUUAGCUAGAGUGCGAUAGGGGUAGAGGGAAUUCCCAGUGUAGCGGUGAAAUGCGUAGAUAUUGGGAAGAACACCAGUGGCGAAGGCGCUCUACUGGGUCGCAACUGACGCUGAGGGACGAAAGCUAGGGGAGCGAAAGGGAUUAGAUACCCC